AGAGUUUGAUCAUGGCUCAGAAUAAACGCUGGCGGCGUGCCUAACACAUGCAAGUCGAACGAGAAAGCCUAGCUUCGGUUGGGCGAGUAAAGUGGCGCACGGGUGAGUAACGCGUAGGUAACCUGCCCCCAUGUCUGGGAUAACAGUGCGAAAGCGCUGCUAAUACCGGAUACGGCCAAGAGGCGGUGGUUUUUUGGCUAAAGUCGGCCUCUCGAUGAAGCCGGCGCACGGGGAUGGGCCUGCGUCCUAUCAGCUAGUUGGCAGGGUAACGGCCUACCAAGGCUUCGACGGGUAGCUGGUCUGAGAGGAUGAUCAGCCACACUGGCACUGAAACACGGGCCAGACUCCUACGGGAGGCAGCAGUGAGGAAUUUUGCACAAUGGCCGCAAGGCUGACGCAGCAACGCCGCGUGGGUGAAGAAGGCCUUCGGGUCGUAAAGCCCUGUCUGGUGGGAAGAAUGACCGGGGGAGUAAUAUGUUCCCGGCUUGACGGUACCACCGAAGGAAGCACCGGCUAACUCCGUGCCAGCAGCCGCGGUAAUACGGAGGGUGCGAGCGUUAUUCGGAAUUACUGGGCGUAAAGCGCGUGCAGGCGGGCCGGCAAGUCUGAUGUGAAAGCCCCGGGCUCAACCCGGGAAGUGCAUUGGAAACUGCUGGUCUUGAGUUCUGGAGAGGAAGGGGGAAUUCCCGGUGUAGAGGUGAAAUUCGUAGAGAUCGGGAGGAAUACCAGUGGCGAAGGCGCCCUUCUGGACGGCAACUGACGCUGAGACGCGAAAGCGUGGGGAGCAAACAGGAUUAGAUACCCUGGUAGU
rnacentral:rRNA from 1 species